rnacentral:lncRNA from 1 species
UUUCUUUCAAAGCAAAGUAACCCUAACACGUGAAUUGUCAUUGGAGUCUGCACCAACAUUCAUAAAAUACUUCUGAGAAAAAGAAUACCUUUUUCAGCCAGAAAACUAUGGAUCUCUUUUUCUUAGGAUCUCUGCUGAUUUUGUUUCCCCAUUUUUGCAGAUCUUUUCUUCUUUUUUUCCAAUUUUUUGCACUCUGUUUCCUUUUUUUUUCGUCGUUAGUUCCUCGAUUUUGUUUCGGACGAAGAAUUAUGCGAGAUCUCAUCCCAGGCUCCAACUCCUCUUCUCCAAGUUUGAAAGUAAGGCUACCUUCCAUUUCAUAAGAUUUUCUCACCAGAUUUCCAACUAGACUCUCUGUAUUCAU